rnacentral:rRNA from 2 species
AGCUUGCUCCCUGAUGUUAGCGGCGGACGGGUGAGUAACACGUGGGUAACCUGCCUGUAAUACUGGGAUAACUCCGGGAAACCGGGGUUAAUACCGGAUGAUUGUUUGAACCGCAUGGUUCAGACAUAUUAGGUGGCUUCGGCUACCACUUACUUAUGGACCCUCGGCGCUUUAGCUACUUGGUGAGGUAACGGCUCACCAAGGCGACUAUGCGGAUCCAACCUGAGAGGGUGAUCGGCCACACUGGGACUGACACACGGCCCACACUCCUACGGGAGGCAGCAGUAGGGAAUCUUCCGCAAUGGACGAAAGUCUGACGGAGCAACGCCGCGUGAGUGAUGAAGGUUUUCGGAUCGUAAAGCUCUGUUGUUAGGGAAGAACAAGUGCCGUUCAAAUAGGGCGGCACCUUGACGGUACCUAACCAGAAAGCCACGGCUAACUACGUGCCAGCAGCCGCGGUAAUACGUAGGUGGCAAGCGUUGUCCGGAAUUAUUGGGCGUAAAGGGCUCGCAGGCGGUUUCUUAAGUCUGAUGUGAAAGCCCCCGGCUCAACCGGGGAGGGUCAUUGGAAACUGGGGAACUUGAGUGCAGAAGAGGAGAGUGGAAUUCCACGUGUAGCGGUGAAAUGCGUAGAGAUGUGGAGGAACACCAGUGGCGAAGGCGACUCUCUGGUCUGUAACUGACGCUGAGGAACGAAAGCGUG